GGCAGUUACAGAAUAUUCUCAGGCAGGAGAAUGUCAUAGUUUGGAUUGGAUUCAGGCCAAUUAACCUGUGCUGAGGGACUUGCGCAAGAUUUUUCCAGGCUUAGGAGCUAACCUCGAUCAGAUCUUUCCAGGACACUUAAGGAGAACUUGAAGGUCAAGAGUCUCUGGAAGAGAAGUGUUCAGACUGAGAAGGUGUGCCAGAGGAUCAGUCAGUCCUCAGGUAUACCUUCAAAGCAACUACUUCCUAUUUCUACCUCCUUGAGAAAGGCACAAAAUAUCCCCAUCUACAUCCUGUUUUGGUACCAGACUGAUGAAGAAGAAACUAAAAAGAAAGGACAGUUGGCCAACAGAAAAGUGCCAUGGAAGCGACAGAGCCAUGCUCUAAUAGAUCAAGUACAAGGCAGAUGAAGACUUGCUCCAGAUCCUUCACUGUUCAAAGGCUAAGAUGUUCUGAUGACGAGUUUCUAAUAGCUACAGCAGGCAUCCCAAACAGUUUAUUCUCCAGCAGAUUGCAGACGGAUAAAUUCUGACUCUGUCAUGCCACAAUGUUUAGGUGAAAAAACCAUAGGAGGCAAACAGGACCUGAAUAUUCAGAGGACUGGAUGAAUAACACACACAUGGGGGAAUGGUAAUUAACACCCAUGGACAGAGACCCAGUGAACGACGGAGGAUACAGCAGUGCUUAGAGGGAGAAGAUGUAAGUAGAUAGAAAAAUUUAAAUGACAGAUAUGAAUCUCAUUGUGUUUUCCUGGAGAGCACAGCUGCUUGUGGUUCUGAUGUGUCUUAAGGUUUUACUGCUGUGAACAGACACCAUGAACAAGGCAAGUCUUAUAAGAACAACAUUUAAUUGGGGCAGGCUAAUAGGUUCAGAUGUUCAAUCCAUUAUUAUUAAGGCAGGAAUAUGGCAACAUCCAAGGAGGUAUGGUGCAGGAGGAGCUGAGUGUUCCCCAUCUUUAUCUGGAAGUUGCUAGCAGAAUACUGACUUCCAGGCAUCUAGGACUAGGGUAUUAAAACUCAUACCCACAAUAACACAGCUACUUCAACAAGGUCACUCUUUUAAAUAGUGCCACUCCCUGGGCCAAGCAUAAACAAACCAUCACAGGAUAUAAGGUCUGCACAGCCCAGCCCAGGUUUCUUCCCCAAGGAAGUCUUUAGAAGACUUUUGAGUAAGCCUUCUAGAAACCCAUGUAGCAGUGCAGUAAGCUGCAAGUACAUUUUAAGGUCUUGGAGUCACAUUGGCUGCCCACUAGAGGUUAUGACAUUAAAUCCCAUCUUCUCCUCAAAGGGAAACAUGGUUCCAAGAUCACAUGUGCGUGAUUUCUUUCCACUUACAUCAUUUGUUUGCUGUCCCUUGUUACUCUAGUGUGAGAGUUUCUAAUUUUGAAAAUUGCAUAUGUGGGAUGCCUCGUUGGUAGUCAAAUAGAAUAGAUGAGGGUCAACCUUGAAUCAUAAGAAACUAGUGAUUGUGUUGAAUCCUUGACAAAAGUGCAGAAAGGAACCUAGUUCUUUCGUGUAAUACUGAUGGAAAUUGAGAUGUAGAGUAGAGAUUUAUACAAGGUCAUGUGAUCAACUGCCUUUUUCAUCAUUAGUUAUCUUCUAAAUGGAAUCGCAUGGGGCAAAGUUAGUCCUCAUCCAUCUGAGGCCAGACAGAAGUGAACUACCAAUCUUCUAGUUCAUUACUGAGACAAUAAAACCAAGAUUUAUUGAACACUGACCUUGGGUCAGGAAAAACACUGGUGAUGUGGUCCUAGCCAAGUUAGGAAUCAUUGUUUUCUUCCUAAAUCUAUAAACAUGCACACAUUCCUAAUCCCCCUGGUCUUCAGAGACAUCUUGGAGACCACAACAGCUCAGUUGGCUUUCUUCCCAGAAGAAGGCCAGUGGCUGCAGACUUUUGCUACUAUACCUGAGCACAGGCUGAGCUGGGUUGGGCCAGGUUUGGAGGACUCAGUCACUGAUGAUCUUCUCAAAGGUUCAGAGCUGAAUGCUUGGUAGUAGAAUAUGAGGGAUCUGCCGCAGUUACAGGAUAUCCCACAUUGUGUUUAUAAGUAUGUCUCUUGCCAUCUGGGUCCUGUCCUCACACUAGCCUACAUUCUGGGGAGUCAAGUCAUGUUACACAUACGCGCGCGCGCACACACACACACACACACACACACACACACACACACACACACACUUCUUUUUAAUGUAUUAAUGUUUUCCAGAUCAAUAUUUUAAAAAUGUACAAUGGAGUAAAGCUCUCAGCGGCUGUGGACCAGGACAUGGAAGAACGUGGGUAGUGGUAACACAUAGGAGGCAGGAAGGACUGUUGGUACUCGCCUGCUGUUCCCUGUGGUCACAGAUCCAAGGAUUUCCAUGGAGCAGAUUGCCAAGUCGGAGCUAAGAAGGCCUUGUCUAACUCAGCUGAAGACCAUACUACCUAACUCUCCAUCUUUUAUUCUCUGACUCCAUAUCUUCAUCAGAAAAUAAACAAACAUUAACAACCUGAAG